CACUUGUGCCACAGUCCUCACCCGUGCUAUAUUUUCCGAGGGCUGCAAAUCAGUUUGUAGCUGGGAUGAAUGCAAUGGAUCUACGUCGUGGAAUCACAAUGACUGUUGAUGCUGUUGUUACAAACCUGAAGAGCAGAGCCAGAAUGAUUAGCACAAUUGAAGAAAUUGCACAGGGUUUCCUUCUCCGUAAGAGUAGAGAGAAGCUCUAGAUUGCAGCUCAAAGUGCUUCCUUCUGUUAAUUUGAUUGCAUUGAAGUGUUUUUGCAUGAGAUGUCUUUAGUUACUAUCCUGAUGAGAGACAUUGAUGGAUUAGAGAAAGCUUUGACUCCAACAAAGAAAUAGUCCCCGUCUACCGUUGGCAGGUUAAACUUUUCUUAUUGCAUUAUUUUUGCUUUGAAGAAGAUAUCAAUCUGGUACAUGAUUGUCAGCUUCGUUAUAAUUGGACCAACAUCAUUUGCUCCCAUUGUUGAAAUGGCUAUGACUAUUGUCGACCAAAGCGGUGGUCAGUGCCAUGUUUUAUUGAUAAUAGCUGAUGGGCAGGUAACUUUUUGUUUGGUCGAGUUCUCAUUUUUAGUAUAAUGAAGAACUAUUAUUCCGUAGAAAUAUUAUUUUAGCUUCAACUUUGAUCAUGAGUGCAUUACAUUGUGGCCAUAAGCUACUAUGCCAUAUGUUGGUUCUACCACUGUAGUGUAUGUAUGGUGGAAUACAAAAUUUUACUUUCAUCCACUUAUCAUGUUUCAGUUAUUGGCAAUUCUUAUUUUACAUUUUUUUUUUUUGGUUCUCAGAUUUUAUUCUUUUUUGGAUUCUCGGAUAGGAUUUUUUUUCCAUAGUCCUCAUAAUUUUGUAAUGAUGUAGAGUUCUUCAUUUUGACAUUAAAUUGGGUAAUCAUGACAUUAAUUUCUUGUGUGAAAGAUAUAAAUCAUUGUAUUUAGAAACUGGAUCUAAUAUAUCAUGCCAUUUUUCAUUAUAAAGAAGCCUUGCUCCCUCCCCCUCUCUUUUAUGGUUUGAGAUAACUCAUGAACUUUCCCUUGCUGUUCUUAGGAAUGGACUCUCUAUGAGAUAUUAAGAUAUGCACCCCAACACAAUUGGAUUGCUUAUGAGGAAGCUCUGAAAACAAACCCUCUUUUGGCCAAAAUGGUAAUAAAUGGAAUUGUCUACUCCUGGGGGGGAUUGGAUUGUGCAAGUAUGACUUAGUCUUGAAAUAAAACCUUGUUUCUUAGUUAUCUUCUUUUUCUUCUAUGAAAAUUUGGUAAUCUAUUAUUUUAUUAAAUGGAUUUUGAUGACACAUGAAACCAUAUUUAAUAUUCUUCUUA